rnacentral:rRNA from 1 species
UACGAAGGGGGCUAGCGUUGUUCGGAAUUACUGGGCGUAAAGGGCGCGUAGGCGGCCUGGCAAGUGGAAGGUGAAAUCCCUCGGCUUAACCGAGGAACUGCCCUCCAAACUGCUUGGCUUGAGUCCGGGAGAGGUGAGUGGAAUUCCCAGUGUAGCGGUGAAAUGCGUAGAUAUUGGGAGGAACACCAGUGGCGAAGGCGGCUCACUGGACCGGAACUGACGCUGAGGCGCGAAAGCGUGGGGAGCAGACGGG